GUUUCAAUAGCUCAGCUGGUUUAGAGCACUGAUCUUAUAAGUCAGGGGUCUCGGGUUCGAAUCCCGAUUGAAACA
rnacentral:tRNA from 1 species